rnacentral:misc_RNA from 1 species
UCCGAGUUGACCCCGGCGGUCUCCUAUGAGUCCCCACCAUCACGUGCUGGCAACAUAGAACGAGGGUUGCGCUCGUUGCGGGACUUAACCCAACAUCUCACGACACGAGCUGACGACAACCAUGCACCACCUGUAUACCGCCCAAAAGGACCCCAUAUCUCUAUGAGUUUUCGGUAUAUGUCAAGCCUUGGUAAGGUUCUUCGCGUUGCAUCGAAUUAAGCAACAUACUCCGCCGCUUGUGCGGGCCCCCGUCAAUUCCUUUGAGUUUUAGCCUUGCGGCCGUACUCCCCAGGCGGGGCGCUUAAUGCGUUAGCUGCGGCACGGAAACCGUGGAAUGGUCCCCACACCUAGCGCCCACCGUUUACGGCGUGGACUAC